CCUACGGGAGGCAGCAGUGGGGGAUAUUGCGCAAUGGGCGAAAGCCUGACCCAGCAACGCCGCGUGAAGGAAGAAGGCUUUCGGGUUGUAAACUUCUUUUCUCAGGGACGAAGCAAGUGACGGUACCUGAGUAAUAAGCCACGGCUAACUACGUGCCAGCAGCCGCGGUAAUACGUAGGUGGCAAGCGUUAUCCGGAUUUACUGGGUGUAAAGGGCGUGUAGGCGGGAAUGCAAGUCAGAUGUGAAAACCAUGGGCUCAACCUGUGGCCUGCAUUUGAAACUGUUUUACUUGAGUACUGGAGAGGCAGACGGAAUUCCUAGUGUAGCGGUGAAAUGCGUAGAUAUUAGGAGGAACACCAGUGGCGAAGGCGGUCUGCUGGACAGCAACUGACGCUGAGGCGCGAAAGCGUGGGGAGCAAACAGGAUUAGAUACCCCGGUAGUC
rnacentral:rRNA from 1 species